rnacentral:rRNA from 1 species
CCUACGGGAGGCAGCAGUGGGGAAUAUUGCACAAUGGGGGAAACCCUGAUGCAGCGACGCCGCGUGAGUGAAGAAGUAUUUCGGUACGUAAAGCUCUAUCAGCAGGGAAGAAAAUGACGGUACCUGACUAAGAAGCCCCGGCUAACUACGUGCCAGCAGCCGCGGUAAUACGUAGGGGGCAAGCGUUAUCCGGAUUUACUGGGUGUAAAGGGAGCGUAGACGGCAGCGCAAGUCUGGAGUGAAAUCCCAUGGCUUAACCAUGGAACUGCUUUGGAAACUGUGCAGCUAGAGUGCAGGAGAGGUAAGCGGAAUUCCGAGUGUAGCGGUGAAAUGCGUAGAUAUUAGGAGGAACACCAGUGGCGAAGGCGGCUUACUGGACUGUAACUGACGUUGAGGCUCGAAAGCGUGGGGAGCAAACAGGAUUAGAUACCCGAGUAGUC